GAUACACUCGUUACCAUGGCGACGACAACAAUUAUGGAUCGCGCCGUGUGUUUGUAAGAACAAAAUGGGGAAAAACGUGUGUUGGUGGUCACCGGUGCUCAGGAGAGGACGUUCGUUUAAGGCUUGCUUGAGGAAAUGGCUGGCUCAGGUUUCCCGCUGGCGGUACAGAUGAGCGACACAUUGCUGCCCUCGUUUACCGUGAUGUCAGAGGAAAUGUCAUAUAUCUUGGGAGGAACUGAAAGAAGGAACCAAAAUAUAGAACUGCAGCUGAAACAAAGUGCUGGAACAAAUGUGGGAGGAAGUUAGAGUUCCUGGAGAAAACCCCCGCAAGCACAGAGAAUGGAUCGACAACCUGGAGCUUCAACUCUCCAUGUUUCUUUGAAAGACUCUUUCCAGACUGAGUCAUCCUACGGGGUCGGGCAUGUUCACUGCAUGUUCCUCGCCAAGUGAAUUCCUAACGCCACGCCGCCAAGCCAGCCGCCUGCCCUCGUCAUCACCUGCCACGCAUUCCCUGGCUCCACAACCCGCCAGCGCACCUCAAGGACCAUCUACAGUUCCACUUUUCAAUAAACUGUUCAUCACAACCUUUCAGCCUCUGCCUGCUCUUGGGUCCAGUCUCCAUCCGUUCGUGAUAGAAUACUCUGGCCAGCCAUGGACCUAGCAGCCCCGGAGACGCUAAAACAUGCACUCACCUUCCAAGGCGCCCACAUAGGAUGAAAUCAUGGAAUCCAUACACUCCCUCACUCAACAAGUCUCCCUACUGUCUUCAAAAAUGCAAUCCGACCUUCCUCCUGUGAGUACUCCUCCGAGCCACCCCGGCUCCUGUACAAAGAACCUCAUGUCCCCCUGCCGAGCCCAACUCCGGGGACUUAGGUGCAUGUAGUCAGUUCCUUAUUAAUUGCUCCCUACUUUUCAAUCUUCAACCGUACAGUUAUCCCACCGAACAAUCCAAGGUCGCAUUUGUCACUAACCUCCUCCGCGGCAAAGGAGCCAAAUGGUCCACCGCGUUAUGGCAGAACUCCUCCCUGGUAUUCCAGUCAUUCGAUUUGUUUUCCGCUCAACUUAAAAAGGUAUUCAAUCACUCGUAUUCAAUCAGUGAAGUCACCCGUCGCCUCCUUACGGUCACUCAGGGCGCUAGUUCCGUGGCUGCAUACUCCAUCGAAUUUAGGAUACUUGCAGGUGAAUGCGGGUGGGAUGACGCUGCGCUGAGGGGAAUUUUUCUUAACGGUCUCUCGGAGCAACUUAAAGAUGAGCUCGCUGCCCGGGAAGAGCCCUCCUCUCUCGAGGAUCGCAUCACACUCACCAUCCGCCUUGAUAACAGACUGCGAGAGAGAGCACGAGAGAGGGGGUCCGAGCACGUAAGAUCACUCCCACCGUGAGCACCGCGCCGUUAGCAUCUCAUCCGCCUUCUGCACCUCCGACUGCCCCUUCGUCACCCCCCACUGCACCUGAUGCACCGAUGCACACUGGUAACACCCAAAUAGAUCCCCAGGAACGUCAGCGACGUGUCAUCCAGCGGCUGUGCAUUUAUUGCGGUCAAUAAGGUAAUUUCAUUGCAACUUGCCCCCUGCGACCAAAAAUACCAGGCUCGCCACAUUCCGAGAGCGCCGUGAUGAGCCAAACCACUAUUUCCUCUAGCUCUCCCUCCCGUAUGACCGUCCCUGCUUGCAUUCUGGGUUCCGCUCACAACACAUAAUGGCUCUUAUUGAUUCCGGUGCAGAGGAUAACUUUAUUCAUGAAGGAUUAGCACAUCAGCUCCAACUCAACUCUCCAACCACCCACGUCUCCCAGGAAAGUCACAGCCAUGUAUGUUUCCAUACAUGUGCAUCCUGGGACUCACAUAGUUUCAAGUGUAAAAUGAUCUAUGCUUUUCAACAAACAGUAUACUGUCUAAACAGUCUUCAGUGCAACGUCCUGCGAGGGACAACAUAUAUAUAAUACACUGGACAUCAGUGCCAUUUUAGGCUUUUAUUUGGAAGUUGGCACCGGGGCACGUUGCCAGUGUAACGUAUAUUGGCGUUUGGAGAAAAAAGGAAUUUAUUUAAGAAAUAAAUUUGUCGAACCAGCGACGCCUGCGUUGCUUCCUGUUUAGCGUGAUUUGACGCUUAACGUUAUAAAUCAACCUAUUUUGUCUCGUAAAGGGCACCUGUUUUUAUAUGAAUAAAAUUUGGGAAAAGCGACGAGAAACCUUUUACCAGUCUCAUAAUCUAAAGGUUGCUACAUUUUAUGAAAUAGUCUGAGAUGACAGAGGUUUCCUUAUUGAACUCAAAACACACAAAACACAUCAAAGAGUGUAAGUUGAUAGAAUAUUUAAUGAAAUCUAAAAGGGAUCUAUAGGAAAACACACAGAGAGGUCUAACUAUAGAAAGAAAAUAACACUAAGGGUAAACAAAAAGGGAAGACAGGGUGUUGCUGGACUAAAAAUGAGCG